AGAAAUUAAAAAAAAAAAAAAGAACCAGCAGCCCCCUUUUAAAAUCUCUCUCUACCGUCACUCUCCCUCCCCCUCCCUUUUUCUUCCGACCGGUGAGCCUCCAGCCACCAAGGCCGGCCGGCGAGAGGUCCCCCCACCUUGGACAUCGCCGGUACACCACCAGCCGGCCGGUAGAACCACCAGACGCGGCGGUGUGCUGCCGGCAAGAGAGGGAGAGAAGAGAGAGAAACGUGCGCGCAGGUAGUCCAACUUCCAGGAGCGAUUCCGGUUUCAUCCGACGUCCGAUCUAGGUGAUUCAGAUGUCGUUGGAAAACUUGUUCCGAGAGCUUUCUUUUGAUACCAAUUUUGCAGCAAAUGGAGGUCGGAUGAGUGGGAUAUGGAGGAGAGAAGUUUCGG
rnacentral:misc_RNA from 1 species